GGGUUGUGAGGUUAAGCGACUAAGCGUACACGGUGGAUGCCCUGGCAGUCAGAGGCGAUGAAGGACGUGCUAAUCUGCGAUAAGCGCCGGUAAGGUGAUAUGAACCGUUAUAACCGGCGAUUUCCGAAUGGGGAAACCCAGUGUGACUCGUCACACUAUCAUUAACUGAAUCCAUAGGUUAAUGAGGCGAACCGGGGGAACUGAAACAUCUAAGUACCCCGAGGAAAAGAAAUCAACCGAGAUUCCCCCAGUAGCGGCGAGCGAACGGGGAGGAGCCCAGAGUCUGAAUCAGCAUGUGUGUUAGUGGAAGCGUCUGGAAAGGCGCGCGAUACAGGGUGACAGCCCCGUACACAAAAGCGCAUGUGCUGUGAGCUCGAUGAGUAGGGCGGGACACGUGGUAUCCUGUCUGAAUAUGGGGGGACCAUCCUCCAAGGCUAAAUACUCCUGACUGACCGAUAGUGAACCAGUACCGUGAGGGAAAGGCGAAAAGAACCCCGGCGAGGGGAGUGAAAAAGAACCUGAAACCGUGUACGUACAAGCAGUGGGAGCCCCACCACUAAGCCAGUGGUGAACUCCACAUACGCAUCCUUUGCUGAGGAUACGGUUAACGGAGCGAAAGCGACGUUCAACCUCAAAAGAAGCAGAGGGGGCUUAGUGGUGGGGUGACUGCGUACCUUUUGUAUAAUGGGUCAGCGACUUAUAUUCUGUAGCAAGGUUAACCGUAUAGGGGAGCCGCAGGGAAACCGAGUCUUAAC
rnacentral:rRNA from 2 species